rnacentral:rRNA from 1 species
UUUCCGGUUGAUCCCGCCGGACCUGACUGCUAUCGGAUUGAUACUAAGCCAUGCGAGUCUUUGCAGUAAUGCAAGGCAUACGGCUCAGUAACACGUAGUCAACCUACCCUAUGGACGAGAAUAAUCUCGGGAAACUGAGCAUAAUUCUUGAUAGAUCAUAAUGCCUGGAAUGGUUUAUGGUUAAAAUGAUUCGUCGCCAUAGGAUGGGACUGCGGCCUAUCAGCUUGUUGGUGAGGUAAUGGCCCACCAAGGCGAUUACAGGUACGGGCUCUGAGAGGAGAAGCCCGGAGAUGGGUACUGAGACACGGACCCAGGCCCUAUGGGGCGCAGCAGGCGAGAAAACUUUGCAAUGUGCGAAAGCACGACAAGGUUAAUCCGAGUGAUUUCUGCUAAAGAAAUCUUUUGCCAGUCGUAAAACCGCUGGUGAAUAAGGGGUGGGCAAGUUCUGGUGUCAGCCGCCGCGGUAAAACCAGCACCUCAAGUGGUCAGGAUGAUUAUUGGGCCUAAAGCGUCCGUAGCCGGCUUUGUAAGUUUUCGGUUAAAUCCAUGUGCUCAACGCAUGGGCUGCCGAAAAUACUGCAUAGCUAGGGAGUGGGAGAGGUAGACGGUACUCAGUAGGUAGGGGUAAAAUCCUUUGAUCUAUUGAUGACCACCUGUGGCGAAGGCGGUCUACCAGAACACGUUCGACGGUGAGGGAUGAAAGCUGGGGGAGCAAACCGGAUUAGAUACCCGGGUAGUCCCAGCUGUAAACGAUGCAGACUAGAUGAUGCAUUGGCAUAAUAGCCAUUGCAGUGUCUCAGGGAAGCCGUUAAGUCUGCCGCCUGGGAAGUACGUACGCAAGUAUGAAACUUAAAGGAAUUGGCGGGGGAGCACCACAAGGGGUGAAGCCUGCGGUUCAAUUGGAGUCAACGCCGGG